rnacentral:rRNA from 1 species
UGGGGGAUAUUGCACAAUGGGCGCAAGCCUGAUGCAGCGACGCCGCGUGGGGGAUGAAGGCCUUCGGGUUGUAAACUUCUUUUGCUCUGAACAAGGCGCACUUUGGGGUGUGUUGAGUGUAGGGGUUGAUUAGCGCCGGCUAACUACGUCCCAGCAGCCGCGGUAAUACGUAGGGCGCGAGCGUUGUCCGGAAUUAUUGGGCGUAAAGGGCUUGUAGGUGGCUGGUUGCGUCUGUCGUGAAAGCUCAUGGCUUAACUGUGGGUUUGCGGUGGGUACGGGCUGGCUUGAGUGCAGUAGGGGAGGCUGGAAUUCCUGGUGUAGCGGUGGAAUGCGCAGAUAUCAGGAGGAAUACCGGUGGCGAAGGCGGGUCUCUGGGCUGUUACUGACACUGAGGAGCGAAAGCAUGGGGAGCGAACAGG